AUUGAACGCUGGCGGCAGGCCUAACACAUGCAAGUCGAGCGAGCGGCGGACGGGUGAGUAAUGUAUGGGGACUGCCCGAUAGAGGGGGAUAACUACUGGAAACGGUAGCUAAUACCGCAUACUAUCGGAUAACCCAUAUGGGAUUAGCUAGUAGGUGAGGUAAUGGCUCACCUAGGCGACGAUCCCUAGCUGGUCUGAGAGGAUGAUCAGCCACACUGGGACUGAGACACGGGCCAGACUCCGACGGAGGCAGCAGGGGGGAAUAUUGCACAAUGGGGGCAAGGCUGAUACAGCCAGGCCGGGUGUAUGAAGAAGGCCCUAGGGUUGUAAAGUACUUUGAGGGGGGGGGCGUUACCGACAGAAGAAGCACCGGCUAACUCCGUGCCAGCAGCCGCGGUAAUAG
rnacentral:rRNA from 1 species